rnacentral:lncRNA from 10 species
UCAGGAGGCUGAGGCAAAAGGAUCACUUGAGGAGUUCAAGGUUAUAGUAAGCUAUGACCAUGCUACUGCACUCCAGUCUGGCUGGCAGAGCGAGACCCUGUCACUUUAAAAAAAUAUAAAUAAAUAAAUCACAACAUGAUGACUAUUUAUUUCUCUUCCCUGUUAUUUCUACCGUGCUCUCAAUAAAUAGUAUGAAAAUCAACAGAAAUGCAAAAUCAUGUCACAAAAGUGCAUCUCAGCAUCCCAGGCUCCCCAGGUUUCACCUUCAGGACUUUUACCUCUCCCUGUGCCAACCCUUUGCAAUACAUGUUCCCAAGCCUGCUCUCCUCGAAAGUGCUUUCCUCUUUACCCCACCCACCGUCCACGUACCCCACAGGCAUCCUAAUGACUGACUCCAGAACUUGAGAGCUGGAAAGUUUGUCCAAGGAAGCCCCUGAAACUGUUGUCAGGUGUCUGAAGAGCAUGUUUGUGCAAGGCUAUGGAAUGUUUUAGUUUAUACACUUCGAGCCUCAGUGAGGCUGAACUGGUUAGCUGGUCCCCCAUUGUGACUCUAGGUGUCUGCCUCCUGAAUCUGUUUUAAGACAGAUAAUGGAUCAAGCAUGACCCGCUAUUUUCUACAGUGGAAAUCAUUCUCUGGCCAACGGCACAAUAACUGUUAAUCUAAUGUUCGUGUCUUUUUAAGUUAAUAAGCAUCUGGAAUACUAAUCCUCUCAGCAUUAUUUCUGCUAUAGCUUUCUGUUCACUUUUUCCAACAAACCAACUAUCCUUCAAGUAACUUGAAAACCUACUUUCCAAAUAAAAGCAUCCUUUGAAUGAUACUGUUCUUUUGAAGCUCAAAUUAGUAUCCAUGAGAAAGUAGUGAUUUACAGCAGCUUCUCUACUUAGGUAAAAGUCUACCUAAUUGCUUAUAUUAAAGCUAGCUAGAAAUCGGGUUUUCAAAAGUGUUCCUGCAAUGAAAACAUAAUUUUACAUGAAUAUUUACUUGAUAAUAUAAUUAUUAGAAAUUUAGUGAUUCACUGGUUUGAGGGGAACUUGUAGCACUUUAAUGCUUCUUUAUGCACAGUCUUAAAUCUCCAAAAUUACUUGCUUCCUUUAACAUAUAUACUAUAUUAUAUAAACAAAUUAGGCUUAUAUGCAUAAAUAUAUUCACCCUAUUAUUUAGGUAUCCCAUGGUCAUUCCAAAAUCAUAUUUUUUACAGGGUCUCUCUGAUGGCCACCCAAAAAACAUAAUGAUUAAGAAAAACAUGGCCAGGUGCAGUGGCUCACACACGUAAUCCCAGCACUGUAGGAGGCUGUGGCAGGAGAAUCACUUGAGGCCAGGAGUUCAAGAAUAGUUUGGCAACAUGGUGAGACUCCACUUCUAUGAAAAAAUAAAAAAAAAAUUAUUUUAAAAGCUUUGAGUCCGUGUUACAGCUCUUUUAGAAUUCAUCUAGCAGGUUUUCCAGUCUUCGAUAAAUGUGUAAAAAACACAUGAAGCGUACUUGUCAGUCAGUCCUUCCUCAACUCUUAACAGCUUUAUAGCAACACGUAAAAUUUCAAGGAGCAUCAAUAAUGAUUAAGCAAAAUUAAAAGUUUCAUGUGCCAAUGAUUUGUAAGUUUAUACCUAACUGAUCAAUUCUGUUGAUUUUACAACUUCUGAAUGUUUUUUAAAUAUGCACAUAUAAAUUUUAGAGGCUGGGCGUGGUGGUUCACGCCUGCAAUCCU